rnacentral:lncRNA from 1 species
CCAUGGGAAGUGCCUGACCAGGAGUAGACCUAUAACCUGUGGGUGAAAAUCUAGAUGGAUCCUACACAUGAGACACGAUUGUUUUUCAGGAAGGAAGAAAUCAGGGAACUCUUUCAUGUUGAUACUUACCUUUUCUCCACUGUGGUCAUUUGGUACCUAGAAAGGGUCACUUGCACAAGAAGUAUUUCCUGGUAUGGAGGAGCCUGUGUAUGGAAAACCAUGAAAGAGGAGCCUCACAGCGAAGGAAUAUGCAAUAUCCCACAGGAGCUUGUCACACAGGAUCCCAGCACAGAGCAACAGAUGCUCCUGUAUUUGCAUAAGCACACACAUGAUGAAAAGCUUGCUGUUCCAGACUGUUUGCAAAAGAAAACUGUCGCUUUAAGAAAGGGGUCAGCAUGAUGCUCUGGUACAUCCCAUCAGCAAAAAAUUACCGCUUCCACCUGUGCGACAUCUUGGCUUACUUUACAACAGCAGGUCUCAAAAAAUAUUCCAGAACUCUGGAGGAUCCUAAGAUCCUUUCUGAGGUUCUGAUAGCUCAAAAUUAUAAUGAUAUGAUAUUAUUUACCUUUUCUAUUCGCAUUUUCUUAUAAGUAUUAUGGAGCUUCUAGAGCAUAUGUAAAAUUGACGUCAGUAAGUUCUAUGUAUGUAGUUCAUAGUAAGUGAAUAGUAAAUGCACAUGUGAGAAUCCAAGACUCUUUUAUUAAGCCAAGCAAUAAAAGGAUUUGCAAAAAUGUAAAAGAAUGCCAUUUGUCUUGCUGUAUUUUUUGUUUUAGAACAGUUAUAUUUCAUAAAAAUAUGUUAUUUAUAUUAACAUGUAAUGGGUUUGUUAUUGCUACUUCAAUGAAUUAAUAAGUGCAUUUAAAAAUUUCUCAGUUUGUGAAAAAAAAUAAAAAAAUAAUAAAAUAAAAAUUUCUCAGUUUGGGGGUGCCUGGGUGGCUCAGUAGUUGAGCAUCUGCCUUUGGCUCAG